UCUCCGUUUCUUUUUCUCUCCCGUGCGUGCCCGACACUGCCUUCUCCCGUGCCCUAAACGGCGCCGAGUGGUUCCCCUCUCCUUCUUUUACUUCUUCUUCCGAUUCCUCUCUUUUCAUUUCUUCCUCUUCUCCCUCAUGCGAAUCCCUGUGCUCCUCGCUACAGCCGACGAUCGCCAGCCGCACGACAGUGCCGACGCCGUGAUCUUCUUGGCCGAUUCGUCUCCGCCGGCCACCAGAUCUCGGUCCCUUUUCCGAUUUGCCGCCGUUAUGCCCUAGCCGUUGUGUCUCGGCCGCGUUUUUUUUUCCACCUGACAGCGCCGGCGACGCACGAGGCCUUCCUUUGGUCGUUGAGCAGAGCCGCUCCUUCUCUACCCUAGCGCCGGUGCCACCGCCGGCUGCCAGAUGCCCGACGCCGCACCUCUGCACAACCGCCACUUGAGGCCGUGCCACUGUGUACUGAUCGCCACGGUUCCUCUACCCUAGGCCGAGCCUUCUUCCCGGUCGAAGCUAGCACAGCGAUGUCAGUCGAUUACCGACACUGAGUGAGACAUAGCUGUUGGACACCACCAUCUGGAUCACAAGAAGGGUUGUGCUGCUUUGGUGGAUCUGGAAAUUUGGGUGUUGUGGGCUGCUCUUUGGUUCAGCAGCCACUCCUUUUGGCAGUGGACCAGUGAUCACGAUUGUGAUUUUGAGGACUUUGACGCGAGACAAGUAUCUCGGAGUCGGAAUUGGACCUUUCUAUUUUCGGAGGCGG